AGCGAACGCUGGCGGCAGGCCUAACACAUGCAAGUCGAACGAAGCCUUCGGGCUUAGUGGCGGACGGGUGAGUAACACGUGGGAACGUACCUUUUGGUUCGGAACAACACAGGGAAACUUGUGCUAAUACCGGAUGAGCCCUUCGGGGGAAAGAUUUAUCGCCUUUGGAGCGGCCCGCGUCUGAUUAGCUUGUUGGUGAGGUAAUGGCUCACCAAGGCUACGAUCAGUAGCUGGUCUGAGAGGAUGGCCAGCCACACUGGGACUGAGACACGGCCCAGACUCCUACGGGAGGCAGCAGUGGGGAAUCUUGCGCAAUGGGCGAAAGCCUGACGCAGCCAUGCCGCGUGGAUGAUGAAGGUCUUAGGAUUGUAAAAUCCUUUCACCGGGGAUGAUAAUGACGGUACCCGGAGAAGAAGCCCCGGCUAACUUCGUGCCAGCAGCCGCCGUAACAC
rnacentral:rRNA from 1 species